ACUGAAUCUAGCCCAAACCCCCAAUAAACAAAACUACCACACAACCAAUAAAUCAAAACAUUUAAUUACCUGAUAAAGUAUAGGAGAUAGAAAUAUUAUUUGGAGCUAUAGAGAAAGUACCGCAAGGGAAUGAUGAAAGAUAAUCUAAAGUAUUAAAUAGCAAAGAUUAACCCUUAUACCUUUUGCAUAAUGAACUAGUCAGCAUAACUUAACAAAGAGAACUUAAGCUAAGUCCCCCGAAACCAGACGAGCUACCUAUAAACAAUUUAUAAGAAUAAACUCAUCUAUGUAGCAAAAUAGUGAGAAGAUUUAUAGGUAGAGGUGAAAAGCCUAACGAGCCUGGUGAUAGCUGGUUGCCCAGAACAGAAUUUUAGUUCAACUUUAAAUUUACCAGAAAAACAUACAAAAAUUUUAAUGUAAAUUUAAAAUAUAGUCUAAAAGGGUACAGCUUUUUAGACAAAGGAUACAGCCUUACCUAGAGAGUAAAAUACAUAACCAAACCAUAGUAGGCCUAAGAGCAGCCAUCAAUUAAGAAAGCGUUCAAGCUCGACAACUAUAAUAUCAUUAAUACCAAAAACCCUUAUCAACUCCUAGUAUGCUACUGGGCUAGUCUAUACAAACAUAGAAGUAAUAAUGCUAGUAUGAGUAACAAGAAACACUUCUCCCUGCAUAAGCCUAUAACAGAAACGGAUAUCCGCUGAUAGUUAACAACAAGAUAAACAUAAAUAACUAUAAAUAACUCUAUCAAAUUAAUUGUUAGCCCAACACAGGAAUGCAAUUUAAAGGAAAGAUUAAAAGAAGUAAAAGGAACUCGGCAAACAUAAACCCCGCCUGUUUACCAAAAACAUCACCUCCAGCAUUACUAGUAUUGGAGGCACUGCCUGCCCAGUGACAUAAGUUUAAACGGCCGCGGUAUCCUGACCGUGCAAAGGUAGCAUAAUCAUUUGUUCUCUAAAUAAGGACUUGUAUGAAUGGCCACACGAGGGUUUAACUGUCUCUUACUUCCAAUCAGUGAAAUUGACCUCCCCGUGAAGAGGCGGGGAUAAACUAAUAAGACGAGAAGACCCUAUGGAGCUUUAAUUAAUUAAUUCAUAAUAUUAUCAGAUAUUUCCCAAUAGGCAUAACCAAAACUAUUAAUGAAUUGAUAAUUUAGGUUGGGGUGACCUCGGAGCAUAAAAUAACCUCCGAGAAAAAAAAUUAAGACCUACUAGUCAAAAUACAUUUUCAUUUAUUGAUCCAAAAAUAAUUUGAUCAACGGAACAAGUUACCCUAGGGAUAACAGCGCAAUCCUAUUUAAGAGUCCAUAUCGACAAUAGGGUUUACGACCUCGAUGUUGGAUCAGGACAUCCUAAUGGUGCAGCAGCUAUUAAAGGUUCGUUUGUUCAACGAUUAAAGUCCUACGUGAUCUGAGUUCAGACCGGAGCAAUCCAGGUCGGUUUCUAUCUAUUAUAUAAUUUUUCCCAGUACGAAAGGACAAGAAAAAUAAGGCCAACUUAAACAAAAGCGCCUUAAGAUUAACGGAUGAAAUAAUCUUAAUCCGGCUAAUCUACUUCCAACCCUGCCCUAGAGACAGGGUUU
rnacentral:rRNA from 1 species